GACCCCAGGUCAGGCGGGACCACCCGCUGAGUUUAAGCAUAUCAAU
rnacentral:rRNA from 1 species